rnacentral:rRNA from 1 species
CUUGGCCUACGGGGGGCAGCAGUGGGGAAUAUUGCACAAUGGGGGAAACCCUGAUGCAGCGACGCCGCGUGAGUGAAGAAGUAUUUCGGUAUGUAAAGCUCUGUCAGCAGGGAAGAAAAUGACGGUACCUGACCAAGAAGCCCCGGCUAACUACGUGCCAGCAGCCGCGGUAAUACGUAGGGGGCAAGCGUUAUCCGGAUUUACUGGGUGUAAAGGGUGCGUAGGCGGCUUGGCAAGUCAGUAGUGAAAUCCAUGGGCUUAACCCAUGAACUGCUAUUGAAACUGUCGAGCUUGAGUGAAGUAGA